GGAAGCGCUUCCUUAGCAAUGGGAGCUAGGAGGCGAGUCCUGCAGCCCGGCCCCUCGCCGCUGAUGGGUCCUCUGGGCUUUGCCUGCAGACAUGGAAUAUCCCGUCCAACAUUCCCAAUGACCUGGCUGCCCAGCUGGCAAGUGGAAGGUGGAUGUUUCAGAAAUGGAGAUGCUUCACAGUUUCAGGAAGUCUCAUUUAUUGAUUGUUGCUCCCAGAGUC